ensembl:miRNA mdo-mir-1541 mdo-mir-1541
AUGGAGCAGAUGGUGUGCUCGUUUGGAUGUGGCAGUUUGCGAGGGAUGGGCAUCCCAUGAUCCUCCAG